UACGGAGGGAGCUAGCGUUGUUCGGAAUUACUGGGCGUAAAGCGCACGUAGGCGGCGCAGCAAGUCAGGGGUGAAAUCCCGGGGCUCAACCCCGGAACUGCCCUUGAAACUGCAGUGCUAGAAUCUUGGAGAGGCGAGUGGAAUUCCGAGUGUAGAGGUGAAGUUCGUAGAUAUUCGGAAGAACACCAGUGGCGAAGGCGACUCACUGGCCCGAUACUGACGCUGAGGCACGAAAGCGUGGGGAGCAAACAGG
rnacentral:rRNA from 1 species